GCACAAGCGGUGGAAUAUGUGGUUUAAUUCGAUGCAACGCGAAGAACCUUACCUGGUCUUGACAUCCCGGAGACCCUUAGGAAACUAGGGGGUGCUUCCAUCUGGAAGAAUCUGGAGACAGGUGCUGCAUGGCUGUCGUCAGCUCGUGUCGUGAGAUGUUGGGUUAAGUCCCGCAACGAGCGCAACCCUUGCCUUUAGUUGCCAGCAGUUCGGCUGGGCACUCUAAAGGGACUGCCGGUGUUAAACCGGAGGAAGGUGGGGAUGACGUCAAGUCCUCAUGGCCUUUAUGACCAGGGCUACACACGUACUACAAUGGCCGAUACAAAGGGCAGCGACACUGCGAGGUGAAGCCAAUCCCGUAAAAUCGGUCUCAGUCCGGAUUGGAGUCUGCAACUCGACUCCAUGAAGUUGGAAUCGCUAGUAAUCGUGGAUCAGCAUGCCACGGUGAAUACGUUCCCGGGCCUU
rnacentral:rRNA from 1 species